rnacentral:lncRNA from 1 species
UUUUUUGGGCUUUUUUUAUGGUUCCUGGAACACAGGCUCUUUAUUUUAUCCAUUUACCCAUCUAUUACCCCUAGACAAACACCCAUCAUUUAUCCACAAUAUUUAGAGCCUAUCAGUUAGCAAAGACAUGGGAAUGAUAUUGAACUGAAAUUACUUCGUUUGACUUGUAUUAUGCUCAAUUAUAGUCCAGGAACUUCCGAAAAGAAUUUUGAAAGUACAAAACAUUUUUUGGCUUACCACUUUAUUGAUUUCAGUACAUUUUGCGGUUUGCUUUGUUGUUCAGUAUAUGUAAGGGAAAUAGUAGGAGUAUAACAUGUGUACCUUUUAAGUUUUUGCUUACUUGUCAAUUUUAUGCUACACGAACUGCAUUAGUGUAUUGAGUAGUAAGUUCAACCCAUCAAGCCUUGCUUUUUUAUGGUUGGCAAAGGCAUUGUGCAAUUGAUAGCAUAUUAAAUUAUAUAGUGCGAUAAGUGUAGUUUUUAUGUAUUUAAACAAGGGGCUAAAUCUAUACCCAUGCAUCCUAAAUCCACACUCUUAGUACAAUGGUCCAUUUAUUAACUAUCUAUUGGAUCCAUUAGUUGUCUGAUGUCAUUUUCAACCUCUGCCCUCAGCAUGCAUCAUUAUGAUACGUUAUAGGAUUAGAAAGAUCUUCUGGCUCAUCAUAACCUGGAUGGAUGUUACUGAGAUGCCUUCCCAAGUUUCCUUUAUCAAGGAAAAGGUUGACUGUCAACUAAGGCAGGAAUAUAUCACAGGCUAAAUUUGAUAAUGUAGCAUGUGAUAGUGAGCUAUUCAUAGAAGAAAGCUUUGGCAAAAUAGUUGCGAGUUCUAAUUUAUGAGGUUCUAAAGGUAGUUGUUAAUGUGAAUUUUAGCUCACUCAUCACAAAUUUGGGCAUCCAAGCUAAUCAAAUCAUUCCAGUCUUAAAAGCAAAUUUGCAUCAUGUGUUUAAAACUCAACCGAUAUGACUUGCAAGUUGAACAAUGUUUCUCUGUCUUGGUGAAUGAACUUAAAAUGCUUAAGUCAAGAGAAAUUACGUAUGCAGCUGCUACAGAGUAACUCUGUCCACAAAAUUUGCACCUCCUACUCUGUCAUUAUCAGAGUUUCAAAAUACUUCUGAGGAACCUAAUCCAGUAUCAAAAUACUGGUCUUUAUCAGAGGAACCUACUCUGUCGUUAUCAGAGUUUCAAAAUACUCAGUCUUUUCUUGGUUUUACUACAAGAAUAGAAGUUCCCUUCUCUGAAGAACCUAAUCCAGUAUUGGUCAGAUCAUGUUUAGAGUGAUUGAUGUAUCCUUCAGUUUGGCACUGAUUUGGGUUCCAUAUCUGGUCCAAAAUACAAGAAAAACUACACCUAAUCACAAGAAGUUGUAACAGGUCCAGUAAUUUUUCUUUUCUUGGAAUGACUAGAGCGAGAAAUGAAUUUUUAAUAUAAAAAUCUAUGGCAAAGAGUCAAGCCUCAAUUUUUCUUGUAGUCACCAUACGUGACUCAGUGCCAUCUGUCAUUAGUUUAUUGCAUUGUUUAUAAGGAACUGGCAAUCAAACUGUGGUAAAAUAUCAAGAAGAUAACUGUCCAAUUAAAAUCUCAAUUGGAGGCAGAAAGUCUCAAGUUUUUACUAUUCAAAGUUUUGAAGGCAUUAUUGACACUCCGGUCCAUCACAUUUGCUGCACUAGAUUUUCCACUGACAGUUCCUCCCUGCAUUUCAGAUACUAAUGCAUAAAAAGUUUUCAAGAACAGUGUUACUUCAUCAUAAUCACAUAGUUACUCAUGUAUAUUAGAUUUUAAAUAUACAUCUGAAAAUUCAUGGGUUUUGUUUGGAAGCUGAAGUGGAGUUAAUGCAAAUAUCAAAUUUGAAUCUUGAAAUGGAGCAAACUAUUGCUAACGAUUUAUAAGUAAACUGUUGGUUAGCUAAAAAGAUCAGAAAUAAUUAAGGGGAGUGGAGAAGAUAACAAUUUCUCUUGUAGUUUGUGUUUUUGAAAGUGUGGGAAAGAAAAGAGUUGAUGAGGGGGAGGAGAAUGAAAAAUGAAGGAAAGAGGAUGGAGUUUGAAGUUCAGGUCUUUUUUUGACAAUUUUUUUUUGGUGUUGGGGGGGGGGGGGGUUUAGGGGUGGAACUGGGAGGAUUAGUUCACUGAGCUGAGAGAGGACUAAGAGGGUAGAGUUGGGGUCUGCUGCAUGCGGCUGCUGCUGCUGCUGGGGACUGUGUCUGAAUAGUCUUUUCUUUUGUGUUGAAAUGAGCCAAAGCCUGAAAAGGGUAAAAUGUUGGGUCACUGAGCGGACUGAGAUCUGAUUAGAAAUGUCUCUGUGAUAAAGAUGGGAUCUGUUGGAUUAGCGGAGCUGUGAUGCUGCUGUAUGAGUACAACAGCCAAAGGGGAUUGUUGUAGCAUUUGCCCAUGACUUUUGCACUGAUACUACUUUAGUCUCUUUCUUCUUCUUUUUUUUUUUUUUUUGUUUGGAUACAUCAGAUCCUUUUUGUUUUGUACUUGUCCAGUCACACCUUAGUUAAUUAACUUUGUUAUUGUGUUUGGUUUGCUAUGAUUAUCUAAUUGUUGUAGUUUAUAAUGCGCAGUAAUUUUUACAUGCUGUAGUUUUGAAAAUGUGAUAGACUAAAUGUGCAACGAGUGAAACAUAGUGGAAAUGGUAGUAAUAAAAAAUUAGGAAUGAUCAAAAUUGUUGGAACUGAGACAUAUAUGAAAUUGAAAUUAGUACAAGGUAUGUGGACCCUGAGCUCAAAAUUGCUUGUUUCCAUGUAUUGCCUUUAUACUCUUUUGCUUAAAAAAUCAAGCAAUACUUGAGAAAUUUUUGUUUUGAAAUUUAUCAAUAUUGCUAAUGGAAUUUCAAUCUCCCCAAUUGCCUUUUACUCUUGAACUCAUUUGUGACAUUUUUAUUUUCAUUUGAUUUUUCUGUUCAUCAAAUGUUCGAGAGGGAUCUCACAAGCAAUAGUAAUUCAUUAAGAAAUUGAACUUGAUGCAGAUGCUGUUGUUGACCUCCUUACUAGAUUUUACUUGUAAAUUUUCUUCGUUAUUUUUUGAGUGCAACAUUUUAAUUUCAACAGCCCCUGUCAAGCAUUUUUAUAGGAAAUACUGUGCCGAUCUCCUUGCAAAAAUUGGGGGAAGCAUACUGAACUUUUUUAUUUUAUUGAAUUGUAAACCUCAGUUAAUUAGUAACUUUUGAAGAAUGAUAGCAGGGGAUUUUGUCUUCCCUGUUUCAUGAUGUCAUAAAAAUUUACCAUUCUUAUUUUUUGCACAUAAAAAAAAAUGUAGGUUCAAUGGAAAUUACUUAACUAAUGACAAAAAUGUCCAAGGAAGUAACUUUUUUCUGGGGCUUGUACUGAAAAUUUAUUUUGCUCGUUACUCCCUCAUCUUGCUUCUUGAGACUUGAGCAGUAAUGCCUUUAGUAAAAAUAAACAAACUUUCGAAUCCAUUAACAUUAGAGAGAGACUCCUACUGGAUAAAUAGAUUGAUGGCCUAGUAGGCAGAGAAUAUUGAAAGUUAACAGUGCUAACAAAAAAGUUUGACAGUGGUCGCCACAGAGCUGUCUAAUUUUGCUAACUAGAGGGGUGGUAUUUUUGUAAUAAUGGUUAAUCUUAGGGGAAGUUAGUAUACUUUAUUGAUAAAGACAAAUAACGGAUAGAAAGAUGAAAAUGAAAGCACAGACAAAUUGAAGUGGCACCAAUGUGCAUUCAGGCAUGGUAUCUGAAGCAAAAUUGGUAUAUAAAAAUAUUUCCAUGAUUGUAUCUAUUUGUAUUUUUUUACUGUCUCUAUUUGUAUUAAUGCAUUGGAGAUGACACUUUCAUUUUGCUGGUUUUAUUCUCUUUUUGGUUUUGGCUUCAAGUUGUACUUAAAACAGGUGGAAAACAAAUUCUAUAGAAUCUUCUUUGUGAAAGUUUAGCCUAUGAUAAUUCUGCAUCUUUAGAACACAGUAGAGAAGCACUAAUAGUGUUCUUAUUGGUGGCAUGGUGGCGUGGUGUUACAUGGAGUCUUUCAUAUAUAAUUACUGCAGUUAUUAUUUCUCUGAUAAUUGAUUCUGGCAAUGAACUAAAACUUUUAGGAGCCCAACUUAAUUCAUCAUUCAAAUCAAUUGACCUACUCUUUUAUCAUUGCUAGUUGCUCUUUUUAUUAUUUUAGAAUCGUGUAAGCAUGACUUCUGUGUCUCUUUUGCCAUUCCAGUUCUUUUUAGAUGUAUUGGAGAAUAGGAGUAUCAUUAAACUCAAGUAAUGGUACAACUUUGGGGAUCACCUUAAAUGGUCUAGCUUUAAUACAGUAAUGCAGUGAUCAUGAGAACUCGAGUCUCUCACAUAAAGAUGUAGUUAUAUCAUUAAAAUGUAUGCUAAUUUUUUAUAAUUAACAUUUGUGAUUGUUAAAAUUUCAUAACUAGGAUUUAUGAUUGCUGAAGCUGCUGUCUUUAUUUUGCAUAGGGAAUGCUGAUAGAAUCAACAUUAAAAUUUCAAGGGUUGGUACCCCUGAUUGUUUCCUUUGUCGACCGUUUAUUGGGAUGUUACAAACACCGUUGGCUGGGCGAGUGGCUGCUGGAGACAUUCAAUGAAUCUUUCAUCCCAAAACUUAAUAUAGACUAUAAAUUAGGAUCUUACUUCCCCAUUUUGGAAAGAAUUUCGGCGAAUGAGAGAGUUUCUCCGACAGGGUUGUUAGAGCUUCUUGCCAACUAUAUGGUUGUCCUGAUUAAGAAACAUGGUCCAGAUACAGGGUUGAAAUCAUGGUGUCAGGGGAGCAAAAUUCUGGGCAUUUGUCGGACUAUGAUGAUUCAUCACCACAGUUCCAGUUUGUUUCUUGGACUUUCUCGUCUCCUUGCAUUCGCUUGCCUUUAUUUUCCUGAUCUGGAGGUUCGUGACCAUGCAAGGUACAAUAAAGAGCUCUUUUUAGUCCUUUCUGAAUUUCAAAAUAUAUUCAGCUUUUUUAUAUCAGGUUUACCUUCAAAAAAAUGAAUUUGUUCAUUUCUAGUUUUGUACAUUGGAUGAAUCCCUUUCCUAGUGGAGAAUGAUAUAAGAUGGUAUACUGCAAAUGACUUUGGAAAGGAAGAAGUGGUGAAAUUUGGAAAUAGGACAAUUGCAUAUGCUUUACGUAAUUAGGCUCCUAAUGAUUUGUUGGCUCUUUAUAGGACCUACCUGCGGAUGCUGGUUUGCAUUCCAGGAAAGAAGCUUCGCGACUUGCUGAACAUUGGGGAGCAGCUUCCUGGAAUUUCACCAUCUACCAAUUCUAGUUCAUUUUUCAAUCUUCAGUCUCCUCGCUAUCAUGACCCGAAGAAAUCUCGGAAUAUUUCAUCCUACAUUCAUCUUGAGCGCACUGUGCCACUUUUAGUUAGACAAUCAUGGUCCUUGUCAUUGCCAGUGCUCAGAUUAGAUGAUGAUAAGCAGUCACUGGAAAGCUUCAAGGAUAACAAAACUACAGGUGAGCCAAAGGAGCUUGACAGAAGUAGUAGUAGUAUCGAGAUUGUUUCUGAUAUUAACAGAAUUAGCCAGCUUCAGGAGCCACUACGUGUGAUGGACUCAAAAGUUUCAGAAAUGGUGGGGAUUUUAAGAAAGCAUUUUGCAUCAAUUCCUGAUUUUAGACACUUCCCAGGACUCAAGAUCAAAAUACCUUGUGUUUUGAGCUUUGACUCAGAGUUGUUUAAUCACUCGGUAGGGACCAGCAUACCCAGUGAUAGCUGUGGAAUAGAUUCACUUCCAGCCAUAUACGCCACAGUGCUCAAAUUUUCGUCUUCUGCACCGUAUGGCAACAUUCCAUCAUAUCACAUUCCUUUUCUUCUUGGCCAACCUGUCAAAAAGGAUUACUCUUUCAGCGAAACUAAUUCACUAGAUAUCGUUCCUGUUGGAAAUGGUUCUGCCGAGGACAAAAGGUUUAAAGCUCAUGUAAUGAUUGAAUUAGAGCCCCGGGAACCACAACCUGGUGUCAUCAAUGUACAUAUUCAAACAAAUGCGGACAAUAGUGAGAUCAUUCAAGGACAGCUUCACAGUAUCAAAGUGGGAAUUGAAGAUAUGUUUCUCAAAGCUAUUGUUCCAGAAGAUGUCCCAACAGAAGCAGUGCCUAACUAUUGUCUGGACCUGUUCAACGCCUUGUGGGAAGCAUGUGGCACAUCGUCUAGCACCGGGCGAGAAACCUUUGUCUUGAAAGGAGGCAAAGGAGUUGCUGCAAUCAGCGGAACACAAUCAGUGAAGCUGCUUGAGGUACCUUUCAUGUCUUUGAUUCAAGCUGUCCAGCGGUGCUUGGCACCAUUUGUUGUUAGUGUAACUGGCGAACCUCUUAUUAAUAUCGUGAAAGGUGGUGAAAUAAUAAGAGAGGUAGUAUGGAAGGAUUCUGAUUCAGAUUCUUUAUCUGAGGCUCCGAACCCAGAUGCGAGGUUGGAUGGAGGUCCUCUUUAUAUCCAGUACAUGGAUGACGAAAAUGAGAAAGGGCCUCACCUACAAAUUUCCAAAAGGGACAUGGGAUGCUUCCUCAUAUUGAUAUUUCUUCCUCCAAGAUUCCAUCUCCUCUUCAAAAUGGAAGUAUGUGAUGUUUCUACUUUAGUUCGGGUUAGAACUGAUCAUUGGCCAUGUCUAGCUUAUGUCGACGAGCUUUUGGAAGCCUUAUUUAUUGAGUGAAACUUUUCCUUACGUUUUAAUUUAGUGUUUUCUCUUAGGAAAUUUUCCGCAAUAGAAGGGCUCAGUAUUAUUCCUUCGAGUUGUUCUGUAUAAAGUAUAUUUGUAAAUGCUUUUAUGUAUAGUACUCAUCUAAUUUCUGUAAAGUUGUGUGGUUUCUUAUUUGCUCUUAAAACUAGAAUGACAAGUAGUUUCCUGUCCAUUCUUGAUGGAAAAGAAUUAUGGGUGGAAAAGAUUUUCCUUUCUGGGCCAUUCUUGCGUAUUAUUGGGGUGGAGUUUUUAGCUAAAAUAGCACUCUUUCUAAAAAAUAUUCUCAAUGUGAUUCAAUUUCAAAUUUUAUUCUCAUAAUGAAUGUUAUUGUUUCCUAUUGCCAUAUAGGAUAAUAAGAAAGGAAAGCUUUGUCUAGUCAACAGUUUCUAACAUGAACUAAAAAUUUUGAAUUUUUAUUAGAGAGGCACAAGAAGAUCGCAUAACUUUGAUAAUUUUCUUAUAAUUAUUUAAAAUAAAUGCUACCAUUAUUGGUUUUUGCAUUUUUUUGAAAUAUAUCAAACCUAUUGUAUAUAAUUUUUAAAAAAUAAAUUUGAAAUAAUUGCAAUGAAAAUUGUAAGCAAUAACAAGAAAAAAUUACAAAAAUUUCAAGGCUAUCAUAUUUGUUUAUGUUAUCCUUCCUACUCCUUGAAAAGAAUUUUUACAAGAAGUAAUCAAACUAAAAUUUUUAAGAUUUCAAUUGCAAAUUGAAAAUUAUCAGAUUAUUAUAUAAGUAAUCAACUAGUAUAAAAGCCAAUGUCAUCCUACUACUUCAAAAAAGUCAUGUAAAGGGAAAAAAGACAAAAAUAAGCUUUUUAUUAAACUUUAAAAAUGCAAUAAAGUUCUCAACAUCCAUAUCUUACGCAAAGAACUAAAAAACAAAAUAUUCUGAACUAAAAAAACUUAGUUAUAGUAUAAUUACAAUGAAUUUUCAAUCGAAAAAUGUGUCUCUUAAUCAUUACCAAUUGCAAGCAAAUUUAAAAAAUUUGAACCAACACUCUUGAAGCUGCUUAAGUGUUAGCACAGAGGGAAUGAAUACAAGAAUGUCAUUAGGCAAUCCACUGAUCCUAUGUUUAGACACUUCAAUAAUGCUAAGUUCAAACACUUCAUUGAUCCUAUUUCCAGAAUGGUAAGCUCUAUUUGAUCACUGCAAAUCACAUAUGGGGAAUGGGGAAAACAAAAAAGUAUCACAAGUUAGAAGUAAAAUAAUAGAAAACUAAAAUCCAAAAAACAUGUUUGCAUGCAUUAUGCUUAAAUUGUAGGUUUAGAGUCUAGAGAGAUGAUAACAUCAGAAGGAUAAAAAUAUGGCAACUCUACAAAGCUAAAGAAUCUUUAUACUUAACUAAGAGUAAAAUGACAACAAAAAUACCUCCACAAAGUUUGGAACAACAGAAUGCAAAGGCAAGGACCAUUUUUUAUUUUCUUUCUCUAGUUCCAAACGAAUAUUUUCCUGCAUUGUUCAUAAUGUUUUACCUUUAUCUUUUUUUCCCCUGCAACUCUUACUUUUUUUUCCUACAUUGUUCAUAAGUUGCUCAAAAAUAACACAAGCCACCAAUUGAUGUUGAAUAAAUGUGCAAAAUUAUUUCAAGUAUAUGAGAUUAUUUGACCAUGUGAUAGAGAGGCACUACAAAUGAACACACUCAUAUAUGUGGUAGAAAUCUAACAUACUGAGCAUAAAUCUAUAUUGUUAUGUAGUUUUCCUCCUAGACAUUUUAUCAAACAAAUGGGAUGAGAAAUCAUUUGUUAGACAAUUACUAUUCAAAAUUUUUUGAAGGCCAUAGCAAUGUUCCAAAAACUGCACAAUAGAAAAGACAAGAGAAUAAUCUUCGUUUACUUUGAAAUUAUCAAUUCAAAAAGAAUAUUUUCAUCCACCGAAACAAUGUCAAGAAUGAUAAUGAAGUUUUAGAUGCUGUUAAUAUAAAUAUUGACUUCUCAAAAUUACGUUUGACAGGAAAAGAUAAUUAAAGGAAAAAAAUGCGUGAAGAUUCAAAGAGAUAAUCAGGGAAGAUAUUAGAUGGGAAAGAAAAAUGAGGUAUACCUCUAUCUCUAUCUUGGCACAUGUGCAACUUAUGUGACCAAAAAAGGAUCACAAUGGUAAUAAAUUUUAAAAUUAAGUUACUUUGGGUAUAUGAUUUGGAAGGAGAGUUAUUUUGGCAAUAAACUCUAUUGAGGUAACUAUUAAAAGAGUGGGUUUCCUCUUUUUUUUUUAGAUAACUCUUAUUUUAGAAACUUUAUUACUCACACAUAAGUUGUUGAAAUUUAAUUUAUUUCAUAAACACUUAUUUCAUAAAUCAAACUAUAAGUGAUACAUACCUAUUAUUCAAGUUUCUAUUUGAAUUUAUUUGAACUCUUAAUGUCUUUGAACCAUUAUGCUUGUAUACCUAUUGGCAACAAUUGUAGACAUAACUCUUAAUAAUAAAGUGUUAGGCAAAUUAAACAUUUUUAAUAUAUCAUUAAUUUAACUUACCAAUUGUACAUGUUGGCACAAUAAGUGUAGACAUAACUCUUAAUAAUAAAGAGUCAAGCAAAUUAAACAUUUUUAAUAUAUCAUUAAUUCAACUUAUUAAUUAACUCGUACUAAUAGAUCAAAAUUGACAUCUAAGAAUGUAUCAUGAGCACUUAAGCAAUAGGAGAAGUCAAGUAGAUGAUCAAAAAAAAAAAAAAAAGAAGUCAAGUAGAUGAUUUCACAUUUUUAUACGUGUAUCCCGCAUGACUAAUAUCCCUCAGUAUACUUAUCUUACAUUAGUUUACAGGAUGCAUUGAGUACUAACUCUAAUGUGACUACUAAUGUUCCUUACUACCAAAAUAUAUUUAUAGAUCUAGUCAUACAACUGGUAGAACAACUAGCUACGAGGAGAGAGGGGGUGACGGGGAAAGAGGGAAGGAGGAGGAAGGGGGAGAGGAAAGGAUGAGGAAGAGAGGGAGAAGAAGGGGAAAGAGGGAGAAGGAGAGCGAUGAGGAAGGAGAAAAAAAAGAGGUAGCGGGAGGGUGUGGCAAUAGGAGGAAGGGGGUGGCAGUGAUAGGGAGGAACAAGGGUAGAAGAUGAAUAGAGGAAAGAAAGAAAAAAAAAGAAAAAGAAAAAUAUGAAAGUUUUUCAACCAUUCUUCAAAUAUACAAAUACACAUAAGUCUUUGUAAAAAUUCUAUAGUAAAUUAUAGUAAAAUUUUGGAUUAUUAUCACUUUACUCCCUUAACGUUUGGUACUACUAUCAAUUUUUUCCUUAACGUUAGUUAUCUUUUAGUCACUUUAUCCUCAAAACUAAUGGUCAAACUUAACGGAGUUUGUUAAUUAAAGUGAAAAGACAUGUUUAACUCUUAAAAUUAUUGUCACUUUACCCCCAUAAAAUAUAGUCUUAUAAUCAAUUUACCCUCUAGAAUUAUUUUUUAGACAAUUUAUCCUACCAUCGAACCAAUUUAGUAAGUUAAAAAGCUUUAUAAGAAAAAUACCCUCCUCUUUGCAUAAUAAAAAUAAUAAAAAAAUUUAAAAUGACUCUUCUCCUUCUAGUAAUAAGAAAAAAAGUCAAAAUAUUAAUUACUUUCUUCUUGGCAAUCUUAUUAAUAUUGAAAAAAAUAGAAAGAUGGAGAGGGGGAGGGGGAGAGGGAGAGGAAGAGAGAGAGAACUCAAUUCUUUUUUUAAAAAUUACAAAUAAUAAAGAAUUAAAUUUUUUUAUUAUUUUAAAAUUAUUUCACUUUUUUGUUUACCACCAAAUUCCAAUCCUAACCUCGACAACCUUAAAGUAAUAUGAUAAUGUUAGACUUUUCUUUAUUUUCUUUUUUUUUUGGUAAAAUCUAAUUUUUUGUCUCCUUCUUUCCUAUCUAUUUUUUCUUUUCCUAGUAUUAAUAAAUGUGAAAAAUUUUUUGAGAAAACCCUUUUAUUUUUAUGUUUUUCAAUCUCUUAAAGUGAAAAAAAGGAAGAAUAACCAUUCCAACUUUUUUUUAUUUUUAAUUAUAUAUAAAAAAAGGAUAAAUAUAUUUAAAAUUUUUUGACGAUACUAGUUAAUUUAACGAUGAGGUAAAAUGCCUAUAAAAUAAUGUUAGGAACUAAAGUGAUUGUAUCACUAUAAUCUAAACGAAUAAAGUGAUAAUAAUAAUGUAGUAAUGCUAUAAAAUAAAAGGGUAUUUUUGUCCAAAAUUUUUUAACAUGUUGAGUUGAAUUACUUAUGAGGGUAAAGUGACUAAAAGAUAACAUUAGGGGGUAAACUGAUAGUAGUAAUAUAGUUUAAGGGGGUAAAGUGACAAUAACCCUAAAAUUUUAGACAAACUUUCCAAAUGGACCCUAUUAGAAGGCUUAAAUACAUAUUGUCACCAUGUAAUUAGAGAUUGGUUUCAAUUCACUCCAUGUAUUCAUGAACUAGACAAAAUACACCCCUUGAAGUGCAAUUCAUGUUUGCCUUUUGUUUUUUUUUUUAAAAGUGAUUGACCUUAGAUUUUAACAGUUUAAAUAUGAAAACAAAUUUAUCCUUGCAAGUAGAGGGAGCCAACAAAUCCAUUUUAGGUAGUCCAGUGCUUAUUUGUACAUGUAUGAAAGAAACAGCCUCCUAUUCCUCCUUCUUCAACUAAAAAAUAAUUCAUCCAAAAAUUUUAGUGGCAUCAAAAUUAAUUGAACGAAAGUAAAUUACACUUGAAAUAUUUCACACUCAAGAUAUAGCAAAAGAAGUAAAUAAAUAAUAUUUCUAUCAUUAGGAAAUAAGAUGGAGUAUCAUAUAAUGCUUUCAAACAUUAGAUGAUGUACACCAGUUCCAUUUCCAAAUAAAAAAUAGCAGUCAUUUCAUAUUAAACCACAAUUUAGGAGUUAAGCAAAUAGCUCAUCAAAUUUCUUAGCAUAACAAAACUAAUUCUAAACAUCAACAUAUUUGAAUUCUAGCUAAACAAAUUAUAAAAGCUUCAUAUUUGUGAAGUUUUAAAUGGCAUGCUAAUUUAUCUAUUGGAACCAAAAUGCUAAAAUCAUAAAAAAUUAAAAUAUUUUAUUGAUGUAAUUGUCUUUUCAUAACUAAAAAAAGGGGUAGAACUUAGUUUAUGCCAAAUAGAGAUUGUAUUUCGGUGGUAUUGUAUUUAUUUCAUGAACAUGAGGUGAAUUGACACCUAUCUCUAUUUACGGGGUACAAGAAGUAUUUAACCCAUUCUAGAAUUACAAGACUUGGAAUUUUAUAAUUUUUAGAAGUUUUGAAAAAUCUUAAGAUUUUGAGAAAUUUGUUUUGACUCCCACGUGGCGAGACAAACUCUCUAAUGUGACUCUAGAAAGAGAAGCUCUCAAGGCUCACCUAAACAUUGAUUUCUCCUAGUUAGUGUUUCCACCAAAAUUACACAUAUUUCUAUUAUACUAGGAGGUGUAAAUCGAGCUCUACGCGGUAAAGAUGGGAGGCUGUAUGCCCAACUCAGGAUUAAUAGCUAGAAAUAGUAUAUGAGAAAAAUGCACAUUCAUUUAAAGCUUAGGAAAAGUAAAUAGAAACAAUAUACGAACCAAAAAAAGACAGUGUAUUCAGGGACCAAAUGAAGUCUACAUUUAUUUAACACCCAGAUAGUACAUGAAGGAAACAGUUGUAUAUCUAAGGAUGGCACCAUUAUUGGUAAGAUACCUAAUGACGACACCAUUAUUGGUAAGAUAAGAACGUGAAGCGAAUAGGAGAUUUGUAAGAAAAGUUCCAUUAAUUAAAAUUUACAAGAGAUGAAUACCAAGAACAACUAAACAAAACACUUUUUUGUUUUCUAGAGUUUGAAAUGCCCUCUUUAGUGCAUAUUGUGGUAAUAAUGUGAGUAAUUGAUUUAUUUAAGUAAUUGUAGUGCUUUAAAGAGGUGUUCAGUAUGUAAUGAUAAUAAUAUUAGUGCAAUUUUUCAAAGCUAAAGAUACAACACAUGACUAAUGAUAGAAAAUAGAGUAGAAAAAAAAAAGGUACAGAGAGAGUUUGAUUAGUAUAUCAUACAGACAAGUAACAUUAGAAUUUGCAAGAUAAUUGAAUUUUUGAUCUUCUAAUAUACUUCAGACUUUUGAAUUGUUGAAAGUAUGAUGCCAUUGAUGUGUCUCCUCAACUCCCCAUUGUCAUUAAAAAUGACAAAUUGCAAAAGAACUUCACUAUUGCAUGAUGAAAAACAACUAUCCCAAUAUAUUGCCAUCUUGAAGAGCACUAACGUUUGCAAAGAAAACUGGGUGUUAAUAUUUAUUAUAAUAUAUAACCAAAAGAAGAAGAUUGUGCGAAGAAACAAACUUGUAAUGACAACUUAGGCAUACAAAAGGAGAAUAAAAUAAGGAGUUAAAAAUGUAAUAAGAAUAAAAGCAUAGACAUAUAAGUAGGAAAGGCCCCAAAAGAUAGCCAGAUUCACAUAUUCAAUAUCAAUCAAAACAUCAAUGUGUCAAUCUGACAACUACUUCUAGACAACUUACAAUUUUCUAGCAUGGGAAAACCUAAAUAUCUUCAAGGUUUCUGAAUAAGACCAAAAAUUCAAGUUUUGAUCCAAGAUAUGUAGAUACUUUGACGCUAAUAUUAAACAUGUGAAACGACAAACAUUAAAAGGAUUGAGCAGCUGGUUGAUGACACAUUUUUUCAAGUUUAGUAAGAAAUUGGCAUGUAGAAUUCUCGCCCUCCUAGAGAACUCAACUUUAACCAAAAAAUAGUUCCAUAAAGAAUAAACAUGCCUAAAACUCCUUGAUGUUUUACUUGCACUUUUAGGAAAAACGAUCUUGAAACUUGAUCACUUUAGCUGUGCAUGCUAAUAUGCCAAAAUAUGAAAGAAAUUCAGGCUGCCAAGCAUCACUCAUUAAAAGACCAAUAUUCAAAAAUGACAAAAAUUGAAUUAAAUGAGUAGCUGCCUGAGAACACAUUACAUUGAAGCUUGGUCAAUUUGUCUGUGCACAUUAAGAUACCAAAAUAUGAAAGAAAUGCAAACCGCCAAGCAUCACCCAAUGGCCUUACCAAAAGUAUGAUCAAACAGCAUCGAGUUUCCUUUUUUGUACUUGUUGCUUCAUUCAAAAUUGUAGAAAUAUAAUCAUGCUUCAAAUUAUGUUGAUCCAAGAACUUCGUACAUGAGUGGUGGAAAUUUGCCAGACUACGUUCAAACCUUCAUAUAGCAACCUACCUAUAAACCUUGUGAGAGAAACCUUAGAUCUUCCAAAAAGAAAUUCCCAAUGUAUGCAUUUAAUCACAUAAAAAGCUCCCAUAAUGCAAUGGACAACCAUGUGCUUUGAUACAUAUUUCAAAAAAUAAAACUACUAAUGCGCAAAAUCAUUCUCCAUUGAAAUACAAAAGAAGAAAAAAAGGUAAAAAAGCAACUCUUGGUCUAGAUCAGAAUUAUGCCAACAUGACAUUGUAAACAAAUACAACCAUUUCCUAACUUUCUAAGGUGGCGUUUGGUUUGCACUUUGGAGUGGGAUUUGGAUUCGGGAUCAUUCAUUCUGAAUUUGGAAUGAAAUCAAUUAUUCUAAUACAUCUGUUUGGUUUGGUACUUAGAAUGUGUAUCAUUACUAUUGAUAACAUGUAUUUUGGGAGAAAAACAUCUAACCUUUGUAUUAUGAGUGACCAACUAAUAUUUAUAGUAGUAAAAACCUAACAAACUAUUUACAAGAAUACCUUUACUAAUUUAUUAUCUACAAGAAUACUUAUAUUCUGUUAACACUUCCCUUCAAGUUGAAGCAUAUAUGUCAUAAACGCCCAAUUUGUUACAAAUGUAUUUUACCUUAGAGUCCCCUAAACUCUUAGUAAAACAAAUCGGCUAAUUGAUCUACAGACGGUAUAUGAGAUGUCAUGAUAACUUCAUCAAGCAAUUUCUCUCGAAUUAAAUAACAAUCAACUUCAAUAUAUUUUAUCCUUUCAUGAAACACUGGGUUAGACACAAUAUGAACAACCGCCUGAUUAUCACACGCUAAAUUCAUAGGUUGUUUAUAUUCAAAUCCAAUUUCAAAUAGCAUGUUUUUCAAUCAAAUCAACUCACACACAGUAUGAGUCAUAACGCGGUAUUCAGAUUUUGCACUUGACCUAGAGGCAAUUGUUUGCUUCUUACUCUUCCACGACACUAAAUUACCACUAAAAAACACAAAAUAUCUUGUGGUCGAUUUUUGAUUUGAGACAGAACCAACCCAAUGUGUAUCACUUUAUUAUUUAAUAUUAGUGUGGUCAUGAUUUUGAUACAGCAACCCUUUUUCAAGAGUACUCUUAAAAUACUUGAAAAUUUGUAUAAUAGCAUCUCAAUGAUUGGUACUAGAGGUCUCAAGAAGUUGACUCACGACACUCACUGCAAACGAAAUGUCAAGUCUUGUUACAGUGACAUAAUUUAAUUUACCCACAAAUCUUCGAUAUUGCCCAAGAUCAGCUAGUAAUGCAUAUUAAUCUCCUACUAAUUUCACAUUAGGAUCCAUAGGAGUAUUCAUAGGUCGGCAACCUAGCAUUCCAACUUUAUUCAGUAUAUUGAGUACAUAUUUUCUUUAAUAUAAAUAAAUUUCAUAUUUAGAUCGAUUUACCUCAAUACCCAAAAAAUAUUGUAAGUGGCCUAAAUCCUUUGUUUGAAAGUUUGUCUAUAGAUUGGAUUUAAACUUUUGGAUCCCCACAACAUCAUCACUUGUAAUCACAAUAUCAUCCAUAUAAACAAUUAAUAAAAUUUUACCAGUAUUACAAUGUCGAUAAAAUACAAAUGAUUUAUUUCAUAUCUUAUCAGACCGAACUCCAUGACAAUACUACUAAAUCGGCCAAACCAAGUCCUAGGAAAUUGUUUCAAUUCAUAUAAAAAUUUUUUUAGACGACAAACUAACUGUGAAUUCUCCCCUUGAACAACAAACCUAGGAAAUUGUUCCAUAUAUAUCUCUUCUUCCAAAUCUCCAUGUAAAAACGUAUUUUUCACAUCCAACUGAUGCAAUAGCCAAUUAUAAGUUGUUGCUAAAGAGAUAAGAAAACUAACAGAGGUAAUCUUUACAAUAGGAGAAAAUAUCUCUAAGUAGUAUAUUCCAUAUGUAUAUCUUUUAACUACCAAACGAGUCUUCAAUCUAUCAACAGAACCAUUAGGCUGCACUUUAUAGUCUACACCCAUUUUCAACCAACAACAGGCUUACUAGAAGGAAGAGACACAAGAUCCCAAAUACCAUUUUUCUCUAAAACAAACAUCUAUUCUUGCAUAACUAAUUUUCAAUUAGGAUGAUUGAGAGCAUGGGUAAUAGACUUAGGAAUAGAUACAGAAUCAAGUGAAAUAACAAAAGAAGAACAUGACGGAGAGAUACGAGAAUAAGAAAUAAAAUUAGAAAUAGGAUAAGAAGUACAGAGUCUCUUAUCUUUGCAUAAAACAUUAGGAAGAUCUAACUCACAGGAGAACGUCAUACUUUGAUUUAAAGAUUCAGAGUUUAUCGGUGAAGCGCGUGGUACAAUAGGAGCUUUCUCAACUAUGAAACGACGAGAAUAAAUUUAAAAAUUAGGAUGAAAUAAUCAAGUUGUAGAAAUUGGUGGACUGUACAGCUCAAAUAAUAAAGAUGAAGGGACUGAUAAAACAGGAGAAGGAAAAGAGGAACACUGUUUUAACUCACUAGACAUAUCUUGUUUCAUAAAAUUGUAGACACCAAAUUUUUGUCAAUUUUUAAUAUUUUCCCAGGAUUUUUCUAUUUAAUAAGUUAUUUAUUUUCUUGUAUUUUAAUGUACAUUUUCUCAUUUUUUGCAGGUUUGCUUUACGAAAAGAGAAAAAAAAAAAACAACAAAACAACAAAAAUAAAAAAAAUCAAAAAAUCAUUUUGAUCAUUUUGUUUCACCAAAUUAACUAUUAACCCAUUUUCACACUCAAUGACCUUGGACUUGUCUUUUCAUUAAUUGAGAAAUCAUCAUUUUGGAAGAUUCAGCACACAAGCUCCUUUUUUGGCUACAAGACAUCUCUCGGCUCUCUCCAGGAGAGAAGAAGGAAGAAAAAAAAAAAUACUUCCUCAAUCUCCCUCUCUCGGCUAGCUCUUAACAGACGAGAACAAAAACCAAAAAAAAAGGAAAAAAAUACUUCCUCAAUCUCCUCUCUCGGCUCUCACGGACAGAGGACAAGAAAAAAAAAAAAAAAGAAGACUCCACCUUUUUGGCUCAAUUUGCUCUCUCGGCUCUCUCCCUCAUCAGAUAAGAGGAACAAAAAAAAAAGGGGCUCCCUCUACACAUUUUCUUCCACAAAAUCCAAACACAAAGAAGGGAAAAGGCAGCUAUCGGUCAAGGCUUGGAAAUUUCAUCAAAACUUCAAUCGAAAGAUUUUCAUAUUUAUUGAGGUAUACUUUUAGUUUUUUUGUCAUAUUAAAUCAAUGCUUCAUUGCUUAGUUUUCUUUCGUUUCUGCUGGCUGCCUUGCAUUGUCGUUGUUGUAUUGUUAAAAAUUGGUAAAUGGCCUGAGUCAGUUUUAGGAAAAGGAAAUGUUUAUUAUGUAUGCAUAUUAACUGUUUGGUAAAAUGCCGAAAACGGAAAAAUGGAUUAAAAAGCUGAACAUUGUGCAUGUUGUUGUCAAAACGGAUGACCGUUAGCUAGCACCAAUAUCUGAAAAUGUUGGGUUAUUUAAGUAUUUUGAAGUUUUGAGCCUUUAAAGGCAUUGAAAUAUUUUCUUUAUUUUUGGGGCUGUUUUGAUUUAAUGCAUUCUUUUGUUGUUGUUUACUUGUCAAACUAAGAUCAUAGUUGUAUUGUAAAAGUCAUAGGGAGGGUUUUGGCAUAAUUUUUAUGAUUUUUGGUGAAGAUGUGAGGGUUUUAAAAAAUAAAAACUGAACUGAUUUCUUGGCAUUUUGGCCACUUUUGGGUCAUUUUCUGUAAAAACUAAGUCCAAAAAUGGAGUCUGUGCGAAAAAUCGAGUGAGGGGGUGUAUUUUGAGGAUUUUUGGUGACCGGAGAGGUCGGCGGCGGCGGCGGCGCCACCGGCAGCCGCCAUGGCCACCAGCUGAAGUUUUCUUCAGCUGGCCGAACAAGAAGAAGAGGAAACGGAAGGGGAGAAGGAGAAAGAAAAGAAAGAAAAGAAAGAAAAGAAAAGAAAGAAAGAAAAAAAGGGAAUUGGGCUAAUGUUUAUUUUUCUGAUGGGCCAAGAGUUAGUUUUGGUUGGGUUUUGGAAAUGGGUUUUGGUUUAUUUUUCUCUUGGGUUUCUGUUGGGCUAAGAGACUGGAGCCCAUAUCUUUUGGUCGGGUUUGAGUGAUAAAAGACGGGCUGGCCUGUGUGUUUUAGUUUGGACUUUCGGUUGGGCUUAGGUAGUGUCCGGCCCAAAGAAAUAAAAUAAUGGCCCAGUGGCCUGUUUUCUUAAGAAGAUCUGAUUACGAUUUUUCACUUUGGCCCCUGAUCUUUUGAGUAGUUUCACUGCAGCCCAGAACAUUUUAAAUUUCUUUCAUGUAGGUCCUUAUAUUAAUUGCAUUUUGGUCCCUGAAUUUUAUCUUUCAUUUAAUUUUGACCCCUGAACUUUGGAAAAUAUAAUUUUUGUCCCCCAAAAGUUUUCAAUUUUUUGCAAUUCAGUCCCUAGUGAAUUUUGACUCUCUUUAUUAUGAUUGCUUCUUUUUUUUAAUAGCUAAUUAUGUUACUUUUGAGUAUGUUUAACUUGUAAUUUUUAAAUAUUCUUAAAUUUAUUUACGUUUGACAUAUUAGUGUGAAUUUAGUACUUUUAUUAUUAUUAUUUUUUCAAUUAAAUUGGUGCCAUGAUUCUUUUGUUCAUUGUGAGUAUAAAUAGGAUAAUUUGACUCCACUUAGUCACCACUUCAAACGGGAGGUACUCCUAUUUUAUUAUUUCAAUGUCAAUUACGUGCUCUUAUGUGCUCCUAUGUGUUCCUAUGUGUUUAUAUAUUUUUAUAUGCUUUAUUUAUUUGAUUUAAAUAUUCAUUCAAAUUUUCUUAUAUAUGUUUUAGUUAAUUUUUUUUAAUGAUUCGAGAGGCAUUUAAAUACCUCAAAAAUGUAAUAGAUAAGAUAAUUUGAUUUGUUUUAUUAUAUUUUUCCCUCCUAGAUUGUAGUUAGGCGCUCCCCGAUGUAAUAGAUAGGUUGCGUGUUUAUGUGGCUUAUGUGUUAUGUGUUUUAUCCGCUUUUCUUAGGAUUUUGGCAUCUAGAUAUUAUGCUUACGUGUUAUGUGUUACGUGCUCUUAUGUGUUUAUUUGUUUUAAUUUAUACUUUAUUUGCUUCACUAUGAAUUGCCAAUGCAUGGCGUCACCACACUAGUCCAACGCUAGUUGUGGUUUCUCCCUCCGCUUACUUGCUAGUCCAACGCUAGUAAGGAUUUUUAGAAAUGGGUUAGUCCAACGCUAGACCCUUUAGGUUAUCUUGCGCUAGAUUCAUUUUUGUGUGAUAUUUAUUACAUUUUCACGCAUAUUUUCAUUUUUAGGAUCUUUUCCCAUUUGCAUGAUAUUUCCUAUUAUAUUAUCCCCUAUCCUCUAUAUGUGUUAAUCAUGUCAUUUAGAAUUGCAUUUCAUUUAGGACAUUGUAUAGUAAGUUAGCUCAUUUGUUUGUGCAUAUUAGGAGAAUUAUUUUUCAAAUAUGGAAAUGGGUGAUUAUAACUUUUUAGUUUAAAUACCCCAUUAAUCCCUGUAUAAGAAAAUUAUGUCACGAAUUUUUUUGCCUCCCGUACCCUUUAUGUUGCAUUCCCUUUUUCUUUGAUCACUUAUAUAUAUGUAUAUAAUUUAAUUUCUUUUCUUUUUCAUCAUUUGCAUCCUUGUGACACCUUCGAGGAUCUAUUUUGACCUUCGCAAUUAAUGCGAUUGGUUCAAUUAAACCCUUGAAUGAACAUGUUGUCCCUUGCCAUAUUUUUUAGAUUUGCAUUCAUAUAGAAAACAUCCAAAUGUGAUAAAUUAAGGGUUAGAUUAGGAAAAUUUUGACUAAACCUCGCAACUAGCUUAGACUAGGUUGAAAGGGUGCCUUAGGUUUGAGUCAAUUAAACCUUUGCCUUCCCUUUCUUCAACCGUGACUCCCGAACCUAUUUUCUCUUGUUUUCAAAGACCUGGAGUUGUUAAAAAGGGUUUUGAUUUAUUUUAUUUUUGUUAAAAAAUAUUUUUUGGGUGACUUGGUACACCAAAACUCCAUACCAAGUGGCGACUCCUGUUUUUUCUUAAAAACCCUUUUAGACUAAAUUUUGGACCCAAAUUGUCGCAUUCUUUUUAAGUCCCAUUCUAGGUCCCUUUUAACUUGUUUAAAAAUAAAAUCAUAUCUUUUAUAAACCUCACACUUUAUUUUUCUUUUCCAUCGCGAAAAAUGGGGCGCGACAACUUGGCGACUCCACUGGGGAUCUAAGAGAGUCCAAGCACUUGGUUUAAUCGUCUUUUCUCUUUUUAACCCUUAUAUUUAUCAUAUUUGGAUGUGUUAGGUUGCAUUUUUCUCUUUUAGGAUAUUUUGCAUUUCACCCUCAUAUUCGUUUAUCGUUCCUCGUAUAUGUGAUGAAUGAUUUAUUUAUUUACUUUUGUUUAUUUACUUAUAUGUAUCGCGCUUUGCAUUUGGGUGUGGGGAAUUUUACCCUAGAGCUUCGCAUUGGUUCUCGAUCCCUCCCCUCCAAAAUGAGCACUGGCAUACGUGCAUACGUUUUAUUUUUUAUUCCUUAUUUAUUUUUCUUUUAGUGGCUUGUCACGCCACUCCACCCUAUUAGGAUUUUAGGCGACCCACUUGGACAUGUGAUCGUAUCACGACGUGUGCGUAGCAUGAUCCGAGGGGUCACUCGAUCUUCCGCUUUAAAGUUUAGGUUGAUGACCUAUUAGUUUUUAGUCGAAGGUUGAGGAUUCUUUUUAGAUUCGCCCUGACGGGUAGCCGUAACACGACGUGUGCGUAGCAACGUCUGGGGAAUCGCUCGAGCCACCGACAAGGAACCUUGGGAGUGAUGACCCUUGGUUUCCAAGUCUGAAGGCUCGGGGAUCUAAAACCUAUCGAGUCUAGAUGCAUUAGUGAACCCUAACCUCAUGCAUCCAUUUUAGCUUGCUUAGGGUAGAGUCAACCUUACCCGAUUAGUAACACUAGACACGAGGGGAGGGAUUUCACCCCUCUUUCUUUGCUUUAUUUACUUUUCAUGCUUGUAUCAUUUAUUGUCACAAUGUGUUAUAUGUUGCUUGUUGAACUAACCUCUCCUUGUUUUUCCUUUUUCUGCAUACACAAACUUUAGAAAUAAGAGUCCUAACAUGGUACUUUGUUGAGGAUAAGACCGCCUCUUAUAUCAAGCAUGUUUAAAUUUUAGUUAAUUGCAUAUGCAUAUGUACUGCACAUCAUUUUAGGCUUACCCCGACAUUUAAAUGGGGUACUUUUAGAUCAUAUGUCAAUUAUUUCAUUGCAUAUUUAACCGCUUUAAUAAACUGGCAUCAUACAUCAACUUUAGAGGGAAUGCCGCAUAGGGGAUCCCGCAUUAGGAAUAAGCCGCCUUGUGUCUCGGAUAUGUAAUCCAAUGAGACUUACACGUUUAUAUUUUUUGUACCAUCCAAAGGGGUAGUGCACAAGGUAAGGUAGGAUUCGAUCCCUUCCGUGUGACGGCAUUGAGAAUGAUGGAACAGUUUUUACGCAUUAGAAUAUGAGCCUUUAAUAAUCACUUUUUGGCCAUUUUAUCAAAAUUGGUAAAAAUUCCUUGCGUAACGGACAUUAAGUUGAAGAAAUUCACAAAUUCCUCAUUGCUGAGAUGAUAAGUAUGUUAAGGUCAAAUCUUGAUUUCCGAAGGCUCAUAGACUAAUGAAUCACAAUGAAUUUUUUGAAACUACCAAUGGGCAGACAAUUCCAUCGAUUUGGAUAAAUCAUCAAUUUCAUUCAUUUCAUUUUUGUAUCUAAGAUGAUUGAAUCGAUUUUUUUUAUAGAUCAUUCGAUCCAUACAAUUUUGCUCAUUUUUAAUUUCAUUUUCAUUCAAUUUCAUUUUGGAUAAAUCAUCAAUUUCAUUCUGUUCAUUUGGCCGGUGAUCCAGUCAAUUUUGAAUAAAUCGUUAAUUUCAUCCAAUCAAUUUUACCAGCUUAUUCAAUUUUUAGAACAAUCCAAUCAAUUGCGACUAAAUCGUCAAUUUCAUCCAAUUCAUUAUUUUUUAGGAUAAUUCAGUCAAUUUUUUAAUAAAUUUUUAAUUUCAUUCAAUCCAUUUGAUCUGUUUUAUUCACUUUUAGGAUAAUCUAAUCAAUUUUUGAACUAAUCAUCAAUUUCAUUUGAUCGAUUUGGUCCGUUUAUUCUUUUUUUUUUUUUUUUUAAGUUUCGAUCUAUGGUUCACCGAAGAAACUAGUCGAGACAUUUCAAUCCUUUCAAAAGUAAGUUUUACACACUAAAUUGAUUUUGAUAUCUUUAUGUGUCAAUCAAAGCAAUCAAUCCAUUCGGACUUUGUCCUCAUUUUGUUAGAACAAAUUGUCUCUUGUCACUUCAAUAUUCAGUUUUUUCAAAAUUGUCUUUUAUCUGAAUCUCAAUAAGUCGAUCGGAUCCAUCAGGUAUUGUAUGGUGCCUACUCCAGAGGAUUGCAUUUUUCAUACUAGGCCAACCCUUGGCAUAAAAGGGUUCCCCAUAGGACAUGCAUACCGAUUUUGCAGUUUUGCUUACUAACUCUGGGUAUUUUUUCUUUUAUUUUUCCCCUCCCCACAUUUAUAAAAGAUGUUUCAAUCUGGUAAAAAUUUUUUUCUGAUAUCUCCUUACACCAGCAGGAUCACCUGAAUUUAUGAAGUUCAAUUACGUAAAUCAUGAAUCAUUAUACUGUCAAAGACCUAAGUACAUAAUCAUCAUACAGAAUACAAAAGCAAGCCUUUAAGACCUAGCAACAUCAAUAGCAUAGGCAUCAUACCAUCAAACCAUUUCACACUUUGCCUGGAAGAGCAAUUAGACUAAGAAUCAAAUGCUCAAUCAAAUCUUAUCCAUAUUUAGUUCCACAAGUUCUUUCAAGUUUUCUUAAACCCACUUUCUUAUAUGUAUGGAACACACCCAUGGUGAAGUCAGACAACCCUCGAGGCUCACUUAACAGCAGCUUUAGUUGAGUGCUUCUAGAACUGUGCAAAAAGCAUCAAAAACUUGGUGCCACUUUACUGAAUAACUUUUUCUACUCAACACAAACAAGUAAUGCGGAGUAGAUUAUUAACCUGCCAAAGAGUACAAGUUGCAGAGAAGACAUUGAAGAUCAGAAAGGCAUACCUGGCACAGUAGUUCCAGAUCCAAGGUCAGUUCCAUAAUCAGCAAAUAUGACCCCUUCAACUGGCCCUGUCUGCGUCAAAAUGGGUCCCGGAUUUUAAAUCCAAAACUGGGGCAAUUUUUGUGAAAGAAGGCGAUCUUAAGUGCGUUGUCCUUGAAAAUUCUAUUUUUUUUAGCUAUCAUUGUUAAGCCACAUUACAAGCUCAUAAAGUCCAUUGCUGACUUAUCUUUCAUGACAAUUUGAAGUGAAGAUUUCGCCUUUAAGGAAUUUACCAAUUACUCAUGAUCAUUAGGUCAUAACUUGUUUCCAUAUGUUUAACUAUCGUUUCUACCCAUACAUUACAAGCCCAUAGAGCUUAUAUGUUAACUGAAUUUUCUUAAGAAAUAAGGGUGAUAAGCUAUUUGCUUUCACCAAGAUGUGAUACUGAAUGUGUUGGAUACAAUUUGGGCACAAAAAAAAAAAAAGACAGAUCCUGACAUACCAUCUCCCUGAGUCACCUCAAAAUCAUGAGUAAUACCCAUUUGUUUGGUCCUAAAAGAUGAGCCAACGAGAAGAGGACCCUUUUCCCUCGAUAUCGAUCCCAAAAAGAGGAAGAGAUCUUUUGUAAUUUGGUUUUGUUUUGAGAGAUUUAUCAUGGAGCUUUCUACAUGGCAUUUAAAGUUUUUUGUGGAAAAAUGCAUUUUUUCUAUUGUACAUCAACUCACAUUGCAUGUUAGUUUUUUUAAAUUUUGGAAGACACAGUUUUCUUGUUUUGUCCGAAUAAAUGGAGAAUCACUCGAAUAAAAUUUUAGAAUAGACCCAAAUUGGGGCAAAAAUUUUUGUAAUAUAUCUGUGAGAUUUUGUCAAAUAGGUUCAAAUUGAGGUAAAAUUUUUAAUACAUUUGUAGGGUAUGUCCAAGGUCAAGUAUAUUUCUCAAAUCUUGAUAAGUCAACACUUUGCAUGAAUGUUAAUUGUUAUAUCAUUACUCAAAAAAAACAAAAAAAACAAAAAAAAAUUGAAAAUUGAAAAAUUCAAGUGCUUUGAAAAAUUCUCCUUAUGCAGGUGUUUAUGGUUGAGAUCGAGGAAAAAGUGCAAUUCAACUUGCAAAUUUGGAGAUUAGUCACGAAUAAAAAUGGAGCAAUAAUGCUACAUUGCAAAGUAGAGGAUCGGCUAUUUGCUCAAAAGGAGUACAUACUUUAGCAGCCAACUUGAAAAAAAAAAGAGAAAAGAAAAGAAAAAGGGGGAAUGAAAAGUGAAAAAAAAAAGAGAAAGAAUAAAGGAAAAAAAAAGUAGAGAAGGAGAAAAGAAAAGAAAGGGGGAAUGAAAGAAAAAAAAAAGAGAAGAGAUAAUAAAAAAGGAGGAAAAAAAUAAAAAUCAAAAAAUCAAAAAAUCAAAAAAUUUCAAUUAAAAAAAAAUCAAAAAAGUCAGAAGAUCAAUUUAAUUUCCUGUUGGUGAGUCUCAGCGUCCACCGCGCACCCUUCUAUCUCCCCUUCUUGACAAUUUAAUUUCCUGUUGGAGCGUAAUCGCGUCCCUCCCCGCAUCAAUUUAAAUUCCUGUUGGUGAGUCUCAGCGUCCACCGCGCACCCUUCUAUCUCCCCUUCUUGACAGAUCAGAAGAAUCAAUUUAAUUUCCUGUUGGAGCGUAAUCGCGUCCCUCCGCGCAUCAAUUUAAAUUCCUGUUGGUGAGUCUCAGCGUCCACCGCGCACCCUUCUAUCUCCCCUUCUUGACAGAUCAGAAGAAUCAAUUUAAAUUUUCUGUUGGAGCGUAAUCGCGUCCCUCCGCGCAUCUUUUUCUAAAAGACAAUUUAAAUUUCUGUUGGUGAGUCUCAGCGUCCACCGCGCACCCUCCUAUCUCCCUUCUAUCAACUUAAAUUCCUGUUGGUGAGUCUCAGCGUCCACCGCGCACCCUUCUAUCUCCCAUUCUUGACUAAUUUAAAUUCCUGUUGGAGCGUAAUCGCGUCCCUCCGCGCAUCAAUUUUUCUGUUGGAGCGUAAUCGCGUCCCUCCGCGCAUCAAUUUAAAUUCCUGUUGGUGAGUCUCAGCGUCCACCGCGCACCCUUCUACCUCCCCUUCUUGACAAAUUUAAUUUUCUGUUGGAUCGUAAUCGCGUCCCUCCGCGCAUCAAUUUAAAUUCCUGUUGGUGAGUCUCAGCGUCCACCGCGCACCCUUCUACCUCCCCUUCUUGACAAAUUUAAUUUUCUGUUGGAUCGUAAUCGCGUCCCUCCGCGCAUCAAUUUAAAUUCCUGUUAGUGAGUCUCAGCGUCCACCGCGCACCCUUCUACCUCCCCGUCUUGACAAAUUUAAAUUCCUGUUGGUGAGUCUCAGCGUCCACCGCGCACCCUUCUAUCUCCCAUUCUUAACAAAUUUAAAUUCCUGUUGGAGCGUAAUCGCGUCCCUCCGCGCAUCAAUUUAAUUUCCUGUUGGUGAGUCUCAGCGUCCACCGCGCACCCUUCUACCUCCCAUUCUUGAUCAAUUUAAUUUCCUAUUGGUGAGUCUCAGCGUCCACCGCGCACCCUUCUGUCCCCCUUCUCGACAAUUUAAAUUUUUGUUGGUGAGUCUCAGCGUCCGCCGCGCACCCUUCUAUCCCUCUUCUUGGAGCGUAAUCGCGUCCCUCCGCGCAUCUUUUUCUAAUUAUGACAAGUUACUUUUCUUGACUGUUUUGACCAAUAAUUGUUGUGCUUUCUCAUUCAUUUGGUGUUUCAUGUUUAGAAGUUCUGAGAGCUCAGACUUUUUCGACUUUGCAAAGACCACAGUUGGUCAAUGCACUUGUUUCAUUGUGAUAAACAUGGAUAUUCGAACUACGUUUGACCUGAUUCCCAUGGUGGGAUACGUAGGCAACUCUACAUGGGUCCGGUCACAUUUUCUGCAAUGUUAUUGCAUCAUUUUGUCCAAUAAUUUCAGCCAAGUGUUGGUUUGUUUAUUUUAGUUCAGGUGCAGCUACAAGAGACAGAUAAGCAAUUUGGUGUCUACGUCUUUGUCUUGAGUUUCUUUGAAACUCUAGACAAAGAGGGGCAAGCUGUAGACACCAAAUUUUUGUCAAUUUUUAAUAUUUUCCCAGGAUUUUUCUAUUUAAUAAGUUAUUUAUUUUCUUGUAUUUUAAUGUACAUUUUCUCAUUUUUUGCAGGUUUGCUUUACGAAAAGAGAAAAAAAAAAAACAACAAAACAACAAAAAUCAAAAAAAUCAAAAAAUCAUUUUGAUCAUUUUGUUUCACCAAAUUAACUAUUAACCCAUUUUCACACUCAAUGACCUUGGACUUGUUUUUUCAUUAAUUGAGAAAUCAUCAUUUUGGAAGAUUCAGCACACAAGCUCCUUUUUUGGCUACAAGACAUCUCUCGGCUCUCUCCAGGAGAGAAGAAGGAAGAAAAAAAAAAUACUUCCUCAAUCUCCCUCUCUCGGCUAGCUCUUAACAGACGAGAACAAAAACCAAAAAAAAAGGAAAAAAAUACUUCCUCAAUCUCCUCUCUCGGCUCUCACGGACAGAGGACAAGAAAAAAAAAAAAAAAGAAGACUCCACCUUUUUGGCUCAAUUUGCUCUCUCGGCUCUCUCCCUCAUCAGAUAAGAGGAACAAAAAAAAAAGGGGCUCCCUCUACACAUUUUCUUCCACAAAAUCCAAACACAAAGAAGGGAAAAGGCAGCUAUCGGUCAAGGCUUGGAAAUUUCAUCAAAACUUCAACCGAAAGAUUUUCAUAUUUAUUGAGGUAUACUUUUAGUUUUUUUGUCAUAUUAAAUCAAUGCUUCAUUGCUUAGUUUUCUUUCGUUUCUGCUGGCUGCCUUGCAUUGUCGUUGUUGUAUUGUUAAAAAUUGGGAAAUGGCCUGAGUCAGUUUUAGGAAAAGGAAAUGUUUAUUAUGUAUGCAUAUUAACUGUUUGGUAAAAUGCCGAAAACGGAAAAAUGGAUUAAAAAGCUGAACAUUGUGCAUGUUGUUGUCAAAACGGAUGACCGUUAGCUAGCACCAAUAUCUGAAAAUGUUGGGUUAUUUAAGUAUUUUGAAGUUUUGAGCCUUUAAAGGCAUUGAAAUAUUUUCUUUAUUUUUGGGGCUGUUUUGAUUUAAUGCAUUCUUUUGUUGUUGUUUACUUGUCAAACUAAGAUCAUAGUUGUAUUGUAAAAGUCAUAGGGAGGGUUUUGGCAUAAUUUUUAUGAUUUUUGGUGAAGAUGUGAGGGUUUUAAAAAAUAAAAACUGAACUGAUUUCUUGGCAUUUUGGCCACUUUUGGGUCAUUUUCUGUAAAAACUAAGUCCAAAAAUGGAGUCUGUGCGAAAAAUCGAGUGAGGGGGUGUAUUUUGAGGAUUUUUGGUGACCGGAGAGAUCGGCGGCGGCGGCGGCGCCACCGGCAGCCGCCAUGGCCACCAGCUGAAGUUUUCUUCAGCUGGCCGAACAAGAAGAAGAGGAAACGGAAGGGGAGAAGGAGAAAGAAAAGAAAGAAAAGAAAGAAAAGAAAAGAAAGAAAGAAAAAAAGGGAAUUGGGCUAAUGUUUAUUUUUCUGAUGGGCCAAGAGUUAGUUUUGGUUGGGUUUUGGAAAUGGGUUUUGGUUUAUUUUUCUCUUGGGUUUCUGUUGGGCUAAGAGACUGGAGCCCAUAUCUUUUGGUCGGGUUUGAGUGAUAAAAGACGGGCUGGCCUGUGUGUUUUAGUUUGGACUUUCGGUUGGGCUUAGGUAGUGUCCGGCCCAAAGAAAUAAAAUAAUGGCCCAGUGGCCUGUUUUCUUAAGAAGAUCUGAUUACGAUUUUUCACUUUGGCCCCUGAUCUUUUGAGUAGUUUCACUGCAGCCCAGAACAUUUUAAAUUUCUUUCAUGUAGGUCCUUAUAUUAAUUGCAUUUUGGUCCCUGAAUUUUAUCUUUCAUUUAAUUUUGACCCCUGAACUUUGGAAAAUAUAAUUUUUGUCCCCCAAAAGUUUUCAAUUUUUUGCAAUUCAGUCCCUAGUGAAUUUUGACUCUCUUUAUUAUGAUUGCUUCUUUUUUUUAAUAGCUAAUUAUGUUACUUUUGAGUAUGUUUAACUUGUAAUUUUUAAAUAUUCUUAAAUUUAUUUACGUUUGACAUAUUAGUGUGAAUUUAGUACUUUUAUUAUUAUUAUUUUUUCAAUUAAAUUGGUGCCAUGAUUCUUUUGUUCAUUGUGAGUAUAAAUAGGAUAAUUUGACUCCACUUAGUCACCACUUCAAACGGGAGGUACUCCUAUUUUAUUAUUUCAAUGUCAAUUACGUGCUCUUAUGUGCUCCUAUGUGUUCCUAUGUGUUUAUAUAUUUUUAUAUGCUUUAUUUAUUUGAUUUAAAUAUUCAUUCAAAUUUUCUUAUAUAUGUUUUAGUUAAUUUUUUUUAAUGAUUCGAGAGGCAUUUAAAUACCUCAAAAAUGUAAUAGAUAAGAUAAUUUGAUUUGUUUUAUUAUAUUUUUCCCUCCUAGAUUGUAGUUAGGCGCUCCCCGAUGUAAUAGAUAGGUUGCGUGUUUAUGUGGCUUAUGUGUUAUGUGUUUUAUCCGCUUUUCUUAGGAUUUUGGCAUCUAGAUAUUAUGCUUACGUGUUAUGUGUUACGUGCUCUUAUGUGUUUAUUUGUUUUAAUUUAUACUUUAUUUGCUUCACUAUGAAUUGCCAAUGCAUGGCGUCACCACACUAGUCCAACGCUAGUUGUGGUUUCUCCCUCCGCUUACUUGCUAGUCCAACGCUAGUAAGGAUUUUUAGAAAUGGGUUAGUCCAACGCUAGACCCUUUAGGUUAUCUUGCGCUAGAUUCAUUUUUGUGUGAUAUUUAUUACAUUUUCACGCAUAUUUUCAUUUUUAGGAUCUUUUCCCAUUUGCAUGAUAUUUCCUAUUAUAUUAUCCCCUAUCCUCUAUAUGUGUUAAUCAUGUCAUUUAGAAUUGCAUUUCAUUUAGGACAUUGUAUAGUAAGUUAGCUCAUUUGUUUGUGCAUAUUAGGAGAAUUAUUUUUCAAAUAUGGAAAUGGGUGAUUAUAACUUUUUAGUUUAAAUACCCCAUUAAUCCCUGUAUAAGAAAAUUAUGUCACGAAUUUUUUUGCCUCCCGUACCCUUUAUGUUGCAUUCCCUUUUUCUUUGAUCACUUAUAUAUAUGUAUAUAAUUUAAUUUCUUUUCUUUUUCAUCAUUUGCAUCCUUGUGACACCUUCGAGGAUCUAUUUUGACCUUCGCAAUUAAUGCGAUUGGUUCAAUUAAACCCUUGAAUGAACAUGUUGUCCCUUGCCAUAUUUUUUAGAUUUGCAUUCAUAUAGAAAACAUCCAAAUGUGAUAAAUUAAGGGUUAGAUUAGGAAAAUUUUGACUAAACCUCGCAACUAGCUUAGACUAGGUUGAAAGGGUGCCUUAGGUUUGAGUCAAUUAAACCUUUGCCUUCCCUUUCUUCAACCGUGACUCCCGAACCUAUUUUCUCUUGUUUUCAAAGACCUGGAGUUGUUAAAAAGGGUUUUGAUUUAUUUUAUUUUUGUUAAAAAAUAUUUUUUGGGUGACUUGGUACACCAAAACUCCAUACCAAGUGGCGACUCCUGUUUUUUCUUAAAAACCCUUUUAGACUAAAUUUUGGACCCAAAUUGUCGCAUUCUUUUUAAGUCCCAUUCUAGGUCCCUUUUAACUUGUUUAAAAAUAAAAUCAUAUCUUUUAUAAAUCUCACACUUUAUUUUUCUUUUCCAUCGCGAAAAAUGGGGCGCGACAAAAAUAAGGAGUGGAUUCAAAGAAAAUAACAUCAACAUAAGUAAAAAAUCCAUUUAAAUCUUAACUAUAACAUUUAUAUCCUUUUUGAACUCGUGCUAAGAAAAUACACUUAAUAGCAAGAGAAUCUAAUUUAUCCACUCCGAGAGUAAGCUGAUGAACAAAACACACAUCAAAAAAUACGCAAAGAUAAUUUAAACACAGGUUCUCGAGAAAAAAGAAUGGAGUGAGAUACUUGACCUCCAAAAAUAUUAGAUGGUAUGCGAUUAAUUACAUAACAUGCAGUUAAAAUUGUAUUACUCCAAAACUGUUUAGACAUAUUCAUAUGCAACAAAAGUGAUUCUUUAUUUCUGUAACAAAUGCAUGAAAAAUAAAAUAUAGUUCUGAACGAUCUUUCGUUAAAUAAAAUCAUGUAACUCUAGAAAAGUCAUGAACAAAGAUUAAAAAAAAAUUAAAAUCUAACUUUGAAGUGAUACGACUAGGACCCAAAAUAUCAGAAUGAACUAAUAAAAAGGGUUCAGAAAUUCGUUUAUUGACUUUAGGGGCAAAAGAAACAUUCUAAUAAAGACAACUGACUCAAAAUAGGAACCAAUUUCUUCAAAUUUUGUAGAGAUAGAUAACCCAAAUAACAGUAAAUUUCAAGAGAAGAUACAAUAGUAGUACAUGCAAUUGACCCAUUAGAGUUAAGAAAAUAAAGACCAUUAUACUCAUAUCCUUCGCCAAUCAUCUUCUUUCUUUUCAAAUUCUGAAUGACAACAAAAUCAGGGAAAAAAAUAACUAAACAUUGUAGAAAUUUAGUAAACUUACUAAAAGAUAUUAGAUUAAAAGGCAAAUUGGAUAUGUAAAGAAUAGAAGAUAACGGAAGAGAUAGGUUAAUUUCUACAGUAUCUAGUCCUUUAACUUUAGUUGUAGAUCCAUUAGUUAAAGUAACAUGAGAAAAGGAAGUAAACUCUUCAAUAUUAAAAAAAAUUUCUAGAGGUACCUAACAUAUGAUUAGUAACCCCGGAGUCAAUAAUCAAUGAGUUAGAAUUAGAGGAUGUGGAGAGAUAAGUCAUAGCAUUACCUUUUUGUGCUAAAGAAACAGAAGAAAGAGAUGUGUGAUUUGUAGUUUGGUACUGUAGGAAUUUAAUAUAAUAUUUUUCGGAUAUGGUAAAAGUCUUCUAAAGCCCUUGUGUUAAAGAAUCUGAUUCAACUUGGUCAGUGGUAAUCGCAUUAGCAAACCGAGAAGGUUUUUCAACUAAAUCUCAAGAAGUAUCACAAGUGUGAUUUUUUAAACCACAAUUAGUGCACUUACGAGUGUCUCGACCUCUAGAACCCCUACGACCUCCUCUCCAAGAGAGUCACGUCUAAAACUAAGUUGCUCACGUCCAGAACUAAAUUGUUUUAUCCGAUUAUUGUUAGCAACUAAAAUAGACUUGUCAUUAAUUAGAGCACCUUCACCUUGUGCAUUAUCCUUAGAUGUAUAACGUAAGACAUGAGUAUACACCUCUACAAAGGAUGAUAACUGUUCACCUGCUAAAUUUUAAGAUUUGAUUGGUUCAAAUUCUAGCUUAAGGCUAGCCAAAAUUUUGAGUACAAAUAUUUGUUCUCUUUGCCUCUGUAUAACUGUAAUAUCACUUGAGAGAGGCAUUACAACAUUUAAUUCUUCUGAAAUUCACUUGAGAUUAGUAAAGUAUUCAAUUAUUGUCUUGUUAUCUUAUUGUAACUGAAAAUAUUCCAAAGAAAAAUCAUACAUUCGUGAAAGAUUACUGUAGUAAAAUAAUCGGACAUAAUCCCAAAUUUCUUUUGUUGUCUCAUAAUGAGAAUACAUGUAAACAAUUUGUGGCUUCAUAAAAUUUCAUAGUGCUCCAAGAAUUUGGGCAUCCCCUUGAAUCCACACUAGUAUCUUGUUAUCCUUCGGAGAAGAGUCGUCUAUAAGAUGUUGUUACUUUCUUAAACUUGUCAGAUAAAUCUUAACAAUUUUUUACCAUUGUUGAUAAUUAGUGUCGUUCAACUUUCAACUUGUGAUUUGAGACGUCACCAUUGUCAUAACAUUAGUGGACGCCACGACACCUUUUGAUGAACUUUUAGCCAUAACAAAUAACACUUUAAACCAAAAAAUAAUCAAAUUUUGUGAUGAACAGUACCCUGGAACAGUAAUGCGUGAACAGUACGCGAUGAACAGUAUCGUGUAAAUAAGACUUUUGUCAGAUGUUUAACCCUAACCAUAGGACUUUUACUUUGAUACCA